rnacentral:ncRNA from 1 species
AGCCUUUCGAAAGAAAGAUUAAUACCCGAUGGCAUAGUUCUUCCGCAUGGUAGAACUAUUAAAGAAUUUCGGUCAUCGAUGGGGAUGCGUUCCAUUAGGUUGUUGGCGGGGUAACGGCCCACCAAGCAUUAGGUAGUAGGCGGGGUAACGGCCCACCUAGCCGACGAUGGAUAGGGGUUCUGAGAGGAAGGUCCCCCACAUUGGAACUGAGACACGGUCCAAACUCCUACGGGAGGCAGCAGUGAGGAAUAUUGGUCAAUGGACGAGAGUCUGAACCAGCCAAGUAGCGUGAAGGAUGACUGCCCUAUGGGUUGUAAACUUCUUUUAUACGGGAAUAAAGUGAGGCACGUGUGCCUUUUUGUAUGUACUUUAUGAAUAAGGAUCGGCUAACUCCGUGCCAGCAGCCGCGGUAAUACGGAGGAUCCGAGCGUUAUCCGGAUUUAUUGGGUUUAAAGGGAGCGUAGAUGGAUGUUUAAGUCAGUUGUGAAAGUUUGCGGCUCAACCGUAAAAUUGCAGUUGAUACUGGGUGUCUUGAGUACAGUAGAGGCAGGCGGAAUUCGUGGUGUAGCGGUGA